rnacentral:lncRNA from 1 species
AAAACUUCUUGUGAAGAAUUGAUGACUAAAACAUCUGCCUGUUAUUCAAACAAAGGAUUGGUGUGAUUUGGCAUUUGAUCGUACUGAUUGAUUUGAUUUGUGUUUUGAUAAUGUUUCAUACAUACCCUUAUUUUCUUUAGUGUAGGUUUGUGUGUUUGAGAUGCAUGGAUUUCCUGCAUAGUUUUCCAAUGGUCUCAAAUUGUUCCUAGUUUUAGCACCAUUGUAGCAGCAAUCAACAUAGAGCAAUUACUGUAUUUACACACAUUUCUGUAGUAUUAGUAAUAUUUCAGGUUCACAUGCCAUAGUAGGUUACACUCUACACAUAUCGGUUACUUAGACGUCACUCUGUUUAAUGGACCAUUCACGUGGUGGAUGACUCAGAUGUAGUGUACUGACGUGAAUGAGUCAGAAGGAGUUUUGCAGAGGUCCAACUUUGCUAGUCAUAAACAGUAGUUAAGUUCUAAAAGCCUUCCGUUAGUUUUAAAGUCUUCCGCUGUCUCCUACAUGGGAAAUGAGUAAGUGAUCACGGGAGCCUUGCUUUAUUCACAACACUAGAGAGACUCCUCCUGGACAGAGGAGCAACUGAGGAAGGAUGCGUCCGUUUGGGACAUAAUGACGUCUUCGAAGGGUAAUGGCACCUCCAGGUCCAAAAGAGCUAGCCAGGAACAAGUGAAGAAGCUGGAUGAUGAGAUCUGGGCAAUCCUCUCCAACUUUCCAGCCGGCUCUCCUCCCUUCCCUCCCUCCUCUUCCUCUGAGAGGAAGGUCCCCAGCGCCUCGUAUCGGGCGGGGUCUCGUACCCCCCUGAGGCCCCCCUCUCCUUCUUCCUCCCUCUCUGGUAUCUCCUCCCUGGUACGGCCUACUAGUCCUCAGCCAGCCUCCCCAGGUCACUCUCCUCGACAGCAGUACGCUUUGUUCUACAAAGGUUUCAGCUUGCACCCGGAUGACACGCUCUACUGGCAGCUCCCAGAGCAGUUCAAAGGGGAUAAGGUAACAGUACGAGUCAAGCUCAGCCCUCCUGCACCCUGACUGGGUGUUUACCCUUCGGUUAACCAUUUGGCCACAGAACCACCCCACCAUUCCUCCACUCGAACUAUCAGAGCUGUGGAAGGGAAAUUAAGGGAAGGGCAGCACCACCAGACAACCCUGU